rnacentral:rRNA from 1 species
UACCUCAGUAACGGCGAGUGAAGCGGUAACGGCUCAAAUUUGAAAUCGGCCACCCGGUCGAGUUGUAAUUUGCAGAGGAUGCUUCGGCUUACGCCCCGGUCCAAGUCCGUUGGAACACGGCGUCGCAGAGGGUGAGAAUCCCGUUGCGGCCGGCGGCCACGCCAUGUGAAGCUCCUUCGACGAGUCGAGUUGUUUGGGAAUGCAGCUCAAAAUGGGAGGUAAAUUUCUUCUAAAGCUAAAUAUUGGCCCGAGACCGAUAGCGCACAAGUAGAGUGAUCGAAAGAUGAAAAGCAUCUUGGAAAGGAAUCGAAACAGCACGUGAAAUUGUUGAAGGGGAAGCGCUCGCGGCGAGAGCCCGCGCGGUCGUUCACCGGGGCCUCGCGCCCCGGGCACGCGGCCGCGUCGGCCAGCAUCGGUUCGGGCGGCGGGAGAAACGCCGACGGCAUGUGGCUCCCCUCGGGGAGUGUUAUAGCCGCGGCGCAAUACCGCCCGCCUGGACCGUGGCACGCGCUCUCGCUCGGAUGCUGGCGUAAUCGCCGCGAGCGGCCCGUCUUGAAACACGGACCAAGGAGUCGACCAACGGCGCGAGUGUGAGGGUGUCAAGCCCUGGCGCGGAAUGAAAGUGAUCGAGGUGCGAAACUCGUUGGCAGCAUCGCCCGGUCCUGAAGUUUACGGAUGGAUCUGAGGAAGAGCGCCGCUGGUCGGACCCGAAAGAUGGUGAACUAUGCCUGAAUAGGGUGAAGUCAGAGGAAACUCUGAUGGAGGCUCGCAGCGGUUCUGACGUGCAAAUCGAUCGUCAAAUCUGGGCAUAGGGGCGAAAGACUAAUCGAACCAUCUAGUAGCUGGUUCCUGCCGAAGUUUCCCUCAGGAUAGCAGUAACGCGUUCAGUUUCAUGAGGUAAAGCGAAUGAUUAGAGGCUCGGGGGCCGAAACGGCCUUCACCUAUUCUCAAACUUUAAAUAUGUGAGACGGGCUUUGUGACUUGAUUGCACGCGCCCCUCCGAAUGGAACGUUACUAGUGGGCCAUUUUUGGUAAGCAGAACUGGCGAUGCGGGAUGAACCGAACGCGGGGUUAAGGUGCCGGAAUGCACGCUCAUCAGACACCACAAAGGGUGUUGAUACAUCUAGACAGCCGGACGGUGGCCAUGGAAGUCGGAACCCGCUAAGGAGUGUGUAACAACUCACCGGUCGAAUGUAUCAGCCCCGAAAAUGGAUGGCGCUCAAGCGUGCUACCCAUACCCCGCCGCCAGGGUAGAUUCGAUGCCCUGGCGAGUAGGCAGGCGUGGAGAUGCGUGACGAAGC